GGUUAAGAAGAACUUAAGAAGCCCUGUGGAGGUGGCAACGAGCUUGCCAGAGCGGGCAGGGGAGGGAGGCUUCGCUGAGGAGGUGACUUGGGAACUAGGCUUUGAAAGAUGGCAGAACAGGGACAGAAGGAGAGAGGAAGCGGCAGGCAAUUUCCAAUCCAAGGAAUCAGCGUAUGCAAAGGCAGAAAAUCAUAUAAGAAAAGAAAUACAGCCGAAAGAUCUGCCUGCUUCAGAAUACAACAGAAGCAAUGCUGCAUCAUCUUUUUCACUCCCUUGGAAGACAGAUGCCAUGUGAAAAUGCUUCAGCUGGGCUACUGGAUUACUCGAGACCAGGAGGAUGGGGGCAUCACAUGAGGGAGAACCAAGACAUCCCACCCAACAGCACCCAGGCCCAGACAUGUAGAUGAAGACAUCUUAAAUUUUCCAGGUUGUGUGCACAGAUCCCUUCCCUGAUUUCCCUGAUGACUCAAAGCCCCUUUUCUAGACUCAGUUUCCUGUCCAAGCCACUAUUUCCUGAAUAGCCACUUUACCGGCUAUUCAUACAAGUCACAGUACUAUGGGACGUCGGGCACCCCAACCACGCAGCCCCAGCCGCCCUGGCUUGUCCUCAGGCUGUUUGUCUGGGGUUGCGCCCCAGCCAAACUCAAAGAGAACUUGGUCCCACACCAAAUUUUAGAGAAGGACUAUGAAACCGAAGGCAGAAAACACCAAAGGGGACGUGAAGGAGAUGGCUCUCCACUACUGCCAACUGAGGCUCAAACCUUGACGCGAACUACGGACCAAAACUCAAAACGGAAACCGGAGCGGGCGUCCGCUUCUCCGAGCGCCGUGGGAGCCGGCUCUCCGCGCUCCCGCGGGCCCCGCCGCCGCCGCCGGUCCCUCAGGGAGGACAGCCGCGCUCCGCUGGGCUCCGCGGGGCAGACCGCGGCCGCAGCCGGCGCCUCGGCGCCUUUGUCUCUCGCGCGCCCUGGCCUCGAGGGCUCCAGACGCCAUCGCGAUGAGGAGGCGCGCGGCGG